rnacentral:rRNA from 1 species
AGAUUGAACGCUGGCGGCAGGCCUAACACAUGCAAGUCGAGCGGCAGCACGGGUACUUGUACCUGGUGGCGAGCGGCGGACGGGUGAGUAAUGCCUAGGAAUCUGCCUGGUACUGGGGGAUAACGCUCGGAAACGGACGCUAAUACCGCAUACGUCCUACGGGACGAAAGCAGGGGACCUUCGGGCCUUGCGCUAUCAGAUGAGCCUAGGUCGGAUUAGCUAGUUGGUGAGGUAAUGGCUCACCGAAGGCGACGAUCCGUAACUGGUCUGAGAGGAUGAUCAGUCACACUGGAACUGAGACACGGUCCAGACUCCU